rnacentral:rRNA from 1 species
UUGAACGGCAGCGCGGGGCAACCUGGCGGCGAGUGGCGAACGGGUGAGUAAUAUAUCGGAACGUGCCCUGGAGUGGGGGAUAACGCAGCGAAAGUUGCGCUAAUACCGCAUACGAUCUAAGGAUGAAAGCGGGGGAUUCGCAAGAACCUCGUGCUCCUGGAGCGGCCGAUAUCUGAUUAGCUAGUUGGUGGGGUAAAGGCCUACCAAGGCAUCGAUCAGUAGCUGGUCUGAGAGGACGACCAGCCACACUGGAACUGAGACACGGUCCAGACUCCUACGGGAGGCAGCAGUGGGGAAUUUUGGACAAUGGGCGCAAGCCUGAUCCAGCAAUGCCGCGUGAGUGAAGAAGGCCUUCGGGUUGUAAAGCUCUUUUGUCAGGGAAGAAACGGUGCGGGCUAAUAUCCCGUGCUAAUGACGGUACCUGAAGAAUAAGCACCGGCUAACUACGUGCCAGCAGCCGCGGUAAUACGUAGGGUGCAAGCGUUAAUCGGAAUUACUGGGCGUAAAGCGUGCGCAGGCGGUUUUGUAAGUUUGUCGUGAAAUCCCCGGGCUCAACCUGGGAAUUGCGAUGAAGACUGCAAGGCUAGAAUCUGGCAGAGGGGGGUAGAAUUCCACGUGUAGCAGUGAAAUGCGUAGAGAUGUGGAGGAACACCGAUGGCGAAGGCAGCCCCCUGGGUCAAGAUUGACGCUCAUGCACGAAAGCGUGGGGAGCAAACAGGAUUAGAUACCCUGGUAGUCCACGCCCUAAACGAUGUCUACUAGUUGUCGGGUUUUAAUUAACUUGGUAACGCAGCUAACGCGUGAAGUAGACCGCCUGGGGAGUACGGUCGCAAGAUUAAAACUCAAAGGAAUUGACGGGGANCCGCACAAGCGGNGGNNGAUGUGGAUUAAUUCGAUGCAACGCGAAAAA